AGGACGAACGCUGGCGGCGUGCUUAACACAUGCAAGUCGAGCGGAAAGGCCCUUCGGGGUACUCGAGCGGCGAACGGGUGAGUAACACGUGAGUAACCUGCCCCUAGCUCUGGGAUAGCUCCGGGAAACCGGGAUUAAUACCAGAUACGACCACUUUAGACAUCUGUCGUGGUGGAAAGGAUUCCGGCUAGGGAUGGGCUCGCGGCCUAUCAGCUUGGUUGGUGGGGUAACGGCCUACCAAGGCGACGACGGGUA
rnacentral:rRNA from 1 species